UACGCCCGAUCUCGUCCGAUCUCGGAAGCUAAGCAGGGUCGGGCCUGGUUAGUACUUGGAUGGGAGACCGCCUGGGAGUACCAGGUGCUGUAAGCUU
rnacentral:rRNA from 1 species